rnacentral:rRNA from 1 species
GACGAACGCUGGCGGCGUGCUUAACACAUGCAAGUCGAACGGAAAGGCCCUGCUUUUGUGGGGUGCUCGAGUGGCGAACGGGUGAGUAACACGUGAGUAACCUGCCCUUGACUUUGGGAUAACUUCAGGAAACUGGGGCUAAUACCGGAUAGGAGCUCCUGCUGCAUGGUGGGGGUUGGAAAGUUUCGGCGGUUGGGGAUGGACUCGCGGCUUAUCAGCUUGUUGGUGGGGUAGUGGCUUACCAAGGCUUUGACGGGUAGCCGGCCUGAGAGGGUGACCGGCCACAUUGGGACUGAGAUACGGCCCAGACUCCUACGGGAGGCAGCAGUGGGGAAUAUUGCACAAUGGGCGGAAGCCUGAUGCAGCGACGCCGCGUGCGGGAUGACGGCCUUCGGGUUGUAAACCGCUUUCGCCUGUGACGAAGCGUGAGUGACGGUAAUGGGUAAAGAAGCACCGGCUAACUAUGUG